UACGGAGGGUGCAAGCGUUAAUCGGAAUUACUGGGCGUAAAGCGCACGUAGGCGGCUUGUUAAGUCGGAUGUGAAAGCCCCGGGCUCAACCUGGGAAUGGCAUCCGAUACUGGCAAGCUAGAGUACAAGAGAGGGUGGUAGAAUUUCUAGUGUAGCGGUGAAAUGCGUAGAUAUUUGGAGGAACACCAGUGGCGAAGGCGACUGUCUGGUCUGUAACUGACACUGAGGCGCGAAAGCGUGGGGAGCAAACAGG
rnacentral:rRNA from 1 species